UGGGUGACAAAAAUUGAUCUGAAAAUACCAAUUGCAACCAGCUAAAGUUUGUUGCAUCUCUGUUGUUUCUGUGGUACGAUGACAGGCCACCUACUUGAUUUACAUCAGCUUACUUGGAGAAAGCAAUCGACUGUCAGAGAAGGAUAGUUAUUUAAAUGAGCUGAUUUUUAAAGAUUAAGUCAAGGCAGGAAAUUGCCAGAAAGCGUCAGUGAAAAGCAGGGAAAUUCAGGUAAUCUGCACCACCAGACAGACGGUGAUCUGAGCUUAUUGUGAGCUCAUCUCCCAUCGUGUGUGGGGCCGUGAUGGACCAGAAUGGCUCAGGUGCAGAUGCAACAAGAGCACAAAACCUUCCCCAGUCAGAACAGAAAAUGAACUCGUUGAAAAUAUGCUCUGCAGCAACAAUUGGGCUGAGCAAGUUCUCCCCACCCUGCUGUGGUUAAAUGCACGGGGACCUUCAGCUACGCGUGCGUGGCUUCACCUGCAGCAGCUCCCAGGACAGGCUGGCUCAGCUCCUGAGAGCAAGGACAGCAGUUCCUUCAGACAGGCAUGUGGUGGCAAGAUCUGGGGUUCGGUUUCCUCGUCCUACACAAAGAAAGCUUCUUGAGUUCGGACUCCUAGCCACUACCGGUAGGUCCUGCCUUGCUCAGCUGUCGUCGUCUCAGUGUGGUUUCGCCAGGUGGGGUGGGAAGGUGGGUGGGAGGGGAGGAGCUGGAG
rnacentral:lncRNA from 1 species